AUUGAACGCUGGCGGCAGGCCUAACACAUGCAAGUCGAACGAGUGGCGGACGGGUGAGUAAUGUCUGGGACACUGCCCGAUGGAGGGGGAUAACUACUGGAAACGGUAGCUAAUACCGCAUACCAUCGGAUGUGCCCAGAUGGGAUUAGCUAGUGGGGGGGGUAACGGCUCACCUAGGCGACGAUCCCUAGCUGGUCUGAGGGGAUGACCAGCCACACUGGAAUUGAGAGACGGGCCAGAGUCCUACGUGAGGCAGCAGUGGGGAAUAUUGCAAAAUGGGAGCAAGCUUGAUGAAGCCAGGCAGCGUGUAUGAAGAAGGCCUUCGGGUUGUAAAGUACUUUCAGCGAGGAGACGUUACGCGCAGAAGAAGAACCGGCUAACUCCGUGCAAGCAGCGGGGUAAUAC
rnacentral:rRNA from 1 species